GGCCUAUUGAUUAUGAUUUUAGGUCGGACCUGCUCUAUGAUGGAUUAAAUGGCCGCGGUAUAUUGACCGUGCAAAGGUAGCAUAAUCAUUAGUUUUUUAAUUGAAAGCUUGCAUGAAGGGUUUAAUGAAAAAAAGGCUGUCUCUUUUUAAAUUUAUUAGAAUUUUAUUUUUAAGUUAGAAAGCUUAAAUAUUUAUAGAAGACGAGAAGACCCUAUAGAGUUUAAUAUUUUAUUUGGUUUAAAGAAAAGGGGAGAGUUAAAUUUAAAUUGGAUAAUUUAUUUUGUUGGGGUGAUAAAAAAAUUAAAAUAACUUUUUUUGUGUUUAAUCAUUGAUUUAUGAAAAAAUGAUCCUGUUAUACAGAUUAUAAGAAUAAAUUACCUUAGGGAUAACAGCGUUAUUUUUUUUAGAGUUCUUAUCAAAGAAAAAGAUUGCGACCUCGAUGUUGGAUUAAAAUUAAUUGUUGGUGAAGAAGCUAAUAAAUUAGGUCUGUUCGACCUUUAGAAUUUUACAUGAUCUGAGUUUAAACCGGUGUGAA
rnacentral:rRNA from 1 species